CGUAGUAAGCCUAUAUUAUGCAAACGUCAUUUCCUAUUCAUAACUGUGGAUGCAAGCCCAAUAAUUUAUUUCAGUUAUGUAUCACUAAUACAGUUCAUAUAUUUAAUAUGGACUUUUAUUAUUCAUUUACAACCCAACUGGAAUACAAUUGCGGAACUCUACCUUUACAUUUACAUCGUCAUUUCUAUCAUUAACAAUCUUCUAUAAUUAUUGUCUCAACUCCAUAGGAUUUUUCUUUCUUCUAUUACCN
rnacentral:lncRNA from 1 species